CUUAAUCACGGAGACUCAGCUCAUCACUUCAGGCUGGUUGUGAUGAAGUGUCUACAAACAGAUUCAUUCAGAGACUAGCAACAGAAGCCAGAAAGAACAGUGACUUAAAAAGAUGGACGUCUAAAUGCCUCUCAUAUAAAGUGAGUUCUGAGGAAGGCUCUCCAGGAUUUUCACGGCAUGGAUAAAGCAUUAUGUAUACAGUGUGCCUCCAGUGCGGGAGCUGCGAAAAGAUUUCCACGUUUUCUUUCUCUUUUCCUUUUUUAAAAAAAUAAAACUAUGUAUAAUGAGAAAUUUGGAAUAGCAUCUACACAGUUAUUUUCGGUCCUAAAUUAUGUCAUUUUAUGAAUGCAUUUCUAUUGUAUU